CCUGUUAAUAGAUUUAUCGCUAUCGGAUUGGCUCGCGUACCAUUAGCUAGUUGGCGGGGUAACGGCCCACCAAGGCGACGAUGGUUAGGGGUUCUGAGAGGAAGGUCCCCCACAUUGGAACUGAGACACGGUCCAGACUCCUACGGGAGGCAGCAGUGAGGAAUAUUGGACAAUGGCCGGAAGGCUGAUCCAGCCAUGCCGCGUGCGGGAAGACGGCCCUAUGGGUUGUAAACCGCUUUUGUUGGGGAGCAAUAAGGUCCACGAGUGGAUUGAUGAGAGUACCCAGCGAAUAAGCAUCGGCUAACUCCGUGCCAGCAGCCGCGGUAAUACGGAGGAUGCAAGCGUUAUCCGGAUUUAUUGGGUUUAAAGGGUGCGUAGGCGGAUGCUUAAGCGUGAGGUGAAAUGCCCGGGCUCAACCUGGGAACUGCCUCGCGAACUGGGUAUCUGGAAUGUCCGUGCCGUGGGAGGAAUGUGUGGUGUAGCGGUGAAAUGCAUAGAGAUCACACAGAACACCGAUUGCGAAGGCAUCUCACGAACGGAUGAUUGACGCUGAGGCACGAAAGCGUGGGGAUCAAAC
rnacentral:rRNA from 1 species